rnacentral:tRNA from 1 species
GUCCCAGUGGUCUAAUGGACAUGACAGCAGUUUCCGGAACUGCUGAUGCGGGUUCGAUUCCUGCCUGGGACGCCA